AAAAGCCCUUUAGUUACUCGACGUAACACCUUCCGCUCAUAUCAGCCUACAGCGCAUCAGCGCACAAUAUUAAUUAUCAUCCUACUAUCCUUAUCAAUUACUAUCCAUCGUUUGUACCAUAUUUCGAGCCAUUUAUCGAAGAAAUUCAAGGUACCAAACCGAUCACUCUCAGUUCAGCAGAGUAUAAACAAGCCGUAGAAUACCUGUGCAAGGCAGGAGAUCACUAUAAGAAUUUUGUAAUAAAAUACACUGCUGGAUUUAUUAACAAAAUCAUCGAUCUUCACACUGCCUCGUAACAUUUUACAAAAUUCUUAUAUGGCGAGUGUUGCCUCAAACGGAUCGGAUCUAACGAUUAUGGAUAGUAUUGAAGAAGGCAACGGAAAUACCACUCAUAAGGAAAGCAGUAGUCCGCUACCUGGUGGUAUGGCAUCCGGAGAACCUCCAGAGCAGCAAAAAGGCGCUAUAAAGAAAACCAAAGGAAAGUUCAAGAAAGUUAAUAAGUCUGUGAAAAUCCUGGAAAAGGCUGUUCACCGAGAAAGGCGAAACCCUGUAAGAGUCACUCGGAAACGAACUAAUCAUCAUUGCCCGGCAUGUGAGAUGCCUGAUACUAGCAGGAUGGUUAUGUGUGACUCUUGUUCAUGCUGGUAUCACUUCACGUGUGUGGACGUAUCUUCAAGCGUCGCUGACGAGCCCUUUUGGUCAUGUCCGAAAUGUAUCGCGAGCAAGAAUCCACAAACCACGAACGCGCUAACUAAUCGUUCCAUACGUCAGGAAAAUGAUGCAAAUGCCAUUGCUCAAACAUCCGAAAAUGCGCCUGGAAGGAAAGCUAAACCGGAAAGUAUUCGAUCCACA